AAAGUCACUGUUCCUGCUCCCUGACCUUCCUUCAACUCCUCUAGUGCAUUUGGAUAGUUUUUCAAAAAAUUGGAAAUAGUUCUUUUGUUGAAAAACAAAUUAUGAUGGCUGGGAAAAGCAAUUACCUGAAGCUGCACUCAUCAACAGUCCUUCAGAGAUAGAAAAAGGACACAGAAAUGUAAAUAUUAGUGGCAUUUGUGGAUGGGAAAAUUGCUGUAAGAGCUGAAGUACAUGUCAGAAUAUCUAACAGGAGUAAAAAUGGCCCUUCAAAUUUAAGCAACAGGCUUACUGAGAUGGAAGAGGGAACAUCUACUUUGGAACAGAAAGCUGUUAGUGGACAGAAAAACACAGAAAAUGUCAGGACAAAGGUGGAACUAAAUGUCUUCAAUUUGUCCCUUUGUGAGUGAUUUCAAGACAAGAUUGUAUGCUUCCAGCAGGAGGGGAUAGAAAGGGAAAACAAUCACCCAGUUCCAGGAAAGCAUGCCACAGUUGUUAAAAUUGUCUUCCCAAGCUAGAAAUCAAGAGAUCAGCAAGUGCCACUUAACACAACUGAGCAACAAUGCAAAUGCUUGCAUUUUCUAUCCUGUUCCUAACUAGAAAAGAAAAAUUACUCCUUUGAGGUGAAGUAUGUUUCUGUUCCAGUGCUGUACACAAAAAUUAGGUACUCAACCAUGUUUUUACCUCAGUUUUCAAUGGCAAGCUCUCUUUCCCCCUCUUGAGUGGGCAGCAGGAUGAGGACUGAAGGAAAAAAGUGCUCUUUACUGUAAUAGAUCAGGGUUGUGAUCACCUGAAGAACCUGAACAUAUGUGUCUAGGGAUCGGAUGAGAUGCUGUGUUGGCUUUGUCUGGGGUAGAGUUAAUUUCCUUCACAGAGUCUGAUAUGGAGCUGUAUUUUGUACUUGUGCUGAACACAGGGUUGACAAUACAGAGAUGGUUUUGUUAUUGCUCAGCAGGGCUUACACAGACCCAAGGCCUUUUCUUCUGUUUGUUCUUGCAUGCUGGUGAGGAAGUUGGGAGGAGACACAGCUGGGACAGGCAACCCCAACUGACCAAAGGGAUUUCCAGACCGUGUGACAUCAUGCUCAGGACAUAAAGCUAAGGGGAAGAAGGAAGAAAGGUGAUAAGGAACCCGAUCUCUUAAGAAAGGAAGCACUUUUCUCAUCCAGUCCCCACCUUGCUGUCCAUCCACUCAAGAGGCAUGGGAAGAGAGACGGACAAUGAAAAAAUUGCUGAGUAUCUCAGCCUCGUCUCAUCCAUCGUUUUCCAGUCAUGUCAUCAGAGGAGUACAUUUUCUUUCUUAAUAACCAUGGAGCAACCAAAACAGCUAUUUUAUAUAAGCAGAUUUACAUAUAUUACCUUCCUUUUGGUUUUUUAUGUAGGUUUGAAGAUGGAGAUCAGAAAACUAUUGACCAAGACAGAUGUGGUGGAAAGGGUAACAGUUGAAUGACAGGACGCAGCCUGUCUAAUACCUGUCAAAUGGUGAUGGCUUUCCUGAACCUUCUGCUGCAGCAGAUCAUCAGCUGUCACAUGGCUGCAGGCACCAGGAGUGGCUUGCUGAGAUCCCAUGGCAGCCCCUCACUGGCAGGCAUUUCCCUGGCAGCCCCUCUUCUUGCUGCCUUUGGGAAACACCUGCUACUUCACCUUCUGCCACCCAGCAAGCCAAGUAUGUGAGAGGAGGUUUCUCAGCCAAUGCCCUCCAGCAGCCGUGGGGCCACAGACACUCCUUGGGAGACAUCUCAUCUCACCUGGGCUCAGCUAGCUGCUGCUGGUGGCCACUGUGAAGAGUUUUCAGGGCCUCUCUAAAGACCAGGGGAGAGAGGUGAGCUGUGAGAUAGGUACCUGCCAGCUCUGCUGUCCCAGUUAUCGAUACCUAGCAUUAAGCACUCCUGGGGGUCAGACCAAAGCACAUAUACACUGUGAAAUUUCCUUUUUUUUUUAUUUGGCUUUUGGGUACACCAGAGACCAAGAUCAGGAAGUGACAGAAGUCUGUUCAGGCUUCCUUCUAAAAUGGUGAACAUGCUGAAGACUGCCUUCAGAGGAAACAGUGUUUGAGUUGGUACCCAAAGGUACCCUCCCUGAGGAGUUAUGGGGAAGAAUAUGCAGAAAUGGUUUUUAGGAAUAUCUAGAUGUUUUCCUCCAUGGAUAGUGCAAUGAAUGGGUAGGAAGUGGUAGUAGUAGUAAGGUCUCUGUGCUGGAGUGGGAAAAAAAUUAGAUGUUCUGUUGUCCAAAGAAAAAUGCACGUGCAUCACCAUGGCCCUUGCAUGCCACCACGGUCUAAAAAUUAGGAACUGACUUGUACACACAUCACUCAUAAGAGUGGUUAAAUGUGUACCUGAUUGACCUUAUUGCCCUACUAACUAAUUAGGCAACUUACGGGGACAGCCUCACAGACGGUAAUAUUUUCUUUCUUUGGACUUGUUCCCUUUUCCCAUAAACUGCACCCAAAAGUAUCCAUUAUCCAAUUAAGCCAUGGCAGAUGGUGAGAUGACAAAAAGCAUGAGUCAGUCGUGGUACUGUACUGUGUCAGGGAGCAGUAUUAAAGAAAGGGUUGUGUCUUCAUUGUGCUGGGAGCACAGCUCUGGGAAUGCCUUAUAUAUAGACCAGAUCUGGAGUUUACUACAUGAGGAGGUGUGUAACCACAAAGGUCAGAAGGGCAGUGAUGGGGGAGGCCUUUGCCAACAUUACACACAUUUCAAUGCAGUAGGGUGUUCUUAUGUUUCAAAGGCAUUUGAUGCAGGGGU